UUUUGUAUAGGGGUGCCUGCGGAGGGAUCAUUACCGAGUUUACAACUCCCAAACCCAAUGUGAACGUUACCAAACUGUUGCCUCGGCGGGGUCACGCCCCGGGUGCGUCGCAGCCCCGGAACCAGGCGCCCGCCGGAGGAACCAACCAAACUCUUUCUGUAGUCCCCUCGCGGACGUAUUUCUUUACAGCUCUGAGCAAAAAUUCAAAAUGAAUCAAAACUUUCAACAACGGAUCUCUUGGUUCUGGCAUCGAUGAAGAACGCAGCGAAAUGCGAUAAGUAAUGUGAAUUGCAGAAUUCAGUGAAUCAUCGAAUCUUUGAACGCACAUUGCGCCCGCCAGUAUUCUGGCGGGCAUGCCUGUCCGAGCGUCAUUUCAACCCUCGAACCCCUCCGGGGGAUCGGCGUUGGGGAUCGGGACCCCUCACACGGGUGCCGGCCCCUAAAUACAGUGGCGGUCUCGCCGCAGCCUCUCCUGCGCAGUAGUUUGCACAACUCGCACCGGGAGCGCGGCGCGUCCACGUCCGUAAAACACCCAACUUUCUGAAAUGUUGACCUCGGAUCAGGUAGGAAUACCCGCUGAACUUAAGCAUAUCAAAA
rnacentral:rRNA from 1 species